AUUGAACGCUGGAGGCAGGCCUAACACAUGCAAGUCGAGCGGAGCGGCGGACGGGUGAGUAAUGCCUAGGAAUCUACCUGGUAGUGGGGGAUAAAGUCCGGAAACGGGCGCUAAUACCGCAUACUAUCAGAUGAGCCUAGGUCGGAUUAGCUAGUUGGUGGGGUAAAGGCCUACCAAGGCGACGAUCCGUAACUGGUCUGAGAGGAUGAUCCGUCACACUGGAACUGAGACACGGUCCAGACUCCGACGGGAGGCAGCAGUGGGGAAUAUGGGACAAUGGGCGAAAGCCUGAUCCAGCCAGUCCGCGUGUGUGAAGAAGGUUUUCGGAUUGUAAAGCACUUGAAGUUGGGAGGCGUUACCAACAGAAUAAACACCGGCUAACUUCGUGCCAGCAGCCGCGGUAAUUC
rnacentral:rRNA from 1 species